CACAAUACAGCAAUUUCUAGAGGAUUUUUUUUCCAGCCAUGGAAAGCUGAAAAGCUACGAGAUUCCACACUUUCAUCGGAAUUUUAACUUAAGAAAGCCGCUAAAGUCAACUGUCACCGCCGACACCGCGUGCGUGCGCGUGAAGCAGUGAAGCCAGCCGACCCCGACUCGACAGAAAACGCAGCUAGAGGUUGCAGCAAAGAGGCCUCAACAAUCGUUCCAGAUUCUUCAUCGGGAUAAAUCCAGAGCACAGCAAGUGCAAUUCAAAGGUCCAGGUUAGCCGAGGAACUGGGAAGGUGGUCCAAAGAAAAAACGAGUCCCUCAAUCCACACAUGGCAUUGUUCAUCAGGGACUUCAUUGAUUAUGACUGGAAGAACAACUAAUACCAGGGUAGAAGACUCCAGGCCAGGAAAUUGACUAGUUCAGGCCCGUUUUUGAAGAAAAAUACAGUUCUGGGAGAAAAACAACGUUCAGGGACCAAAUUCUACUGUUUGAAAUCCUGCUGUUUUUAAAUCAUUUAAUUUGUCUUUUAUACAUUCUAAUUUUAACCGAACAUUUUAAUACAUUUGAACAGGAUUGAUUUGUAUGUUCAGAAAAGUGUUGUUGUAUACAAAACGAAAUGAAAUUUUAACAGAAAAAUGUUAACCUAUUGAAAAUUGUUUUUGCUAUGCUAUUUUUAUUUUAUGAAUUUAGAAAUUUAAAGUGUGAAAAGUUGUCAAUAAAGGGC
ensembl:lncRNA